CAUCACGCAGUCACGAUGAUUGGGACAGUGUGUAACCAGUGUCAACAGGUCAGAUUCUAUACGCAGGUUACUUUAAAACAUUUGAAAUGUUUUGACAGUUCCUUAUUUAGUUAAUGACUCCCCAAAACCACUGGCAUUACUACAAUUGCUGCAUGGAUUAAUACCUGGACUGCUCACACUCGUUUCAUAUUCGAUGUGCUUUCAUCAGUUAACGAGUAAUUAUAGGCUUAUUAAGUUCGCUUGGGACGGCAGGACAUCUUUUCCACGAUCGUUUUGAAUGGCCGUUUUUCUUUUCAUUCCUUGUAAAAGGUGAAACGAAGUGACGGCGAAAAGAUGAUAGAAAAAAACACGAGACUGCGUAAAAACUGCGUGUGAAGUCGCAAAACGUAAAAAUGAUGGCAGCAACUCUCUUCUCUGUUGGAACGACCUAUCAUCAAAGCAUUUUCUCCCCCCUUAUUUUGCGUUCGCAUGAUUAUUAACGAGCCAUUCGUGUCACGAAACCCCCCCCGCGCGCUCGGUUGAUUUCUGACCGCAUUUUUCUUACAAAACAACACGAAACAGGAUUUUUUUUUUUCUUUCGUUUUAUUAUUAUGCCAUUAAUGUUGUUGUUGUUGUCGCCAGGCGGGACAGCCAAUGAAUUGUUUCGUCAGAGUAAUAAAAAUAAAUUAAAACAAACAAAAAAAAAACGAAUGGGUCCACCGUUGAUCGCAUCGCACUUUUAUUUGUGUGUUUCACUGUACAAAUUGAAUAGUUUAAAUUUAAAAAAAAAUGAGAGGGAAAAAAUCAAAACAAAGUUGAUGGAAAAAGCAAAAAAAAAAAAAAAAAUGGUCUCAUGUGUGUAGGUACAAUGGGGGCGGCAAUAGCAAAA